rnacentral:lncRNA from 1 species
GAGGAGAAUCAUGCCUCAAACUGCACCUUCUUCUCUGGGAAUACCCGACCCACCUCAGGAAGCUGUCGUUCCAAGUGUGUCUAAAACCUGCCGUCCUCUCCCUGGCCCGGUAAUCAUCAUGCUGUGCCGUGUACCUACUCAGACUCAGCCGCCGCCCUGCGAGUGUGUGACUUGUCGUCAUUAGUACUCCACUCAGGUGUAGUGGGUGCCUACUACAUCCUCGGUACGGUUGACCAGAAGUCCUUUUGCUCUUGUUCACUUCAUGCUAUUGUCUACAACACCUGUUUCUGGGCAUCAACCACUACUACUGUUGGGGGGGACCCCUAAAUUUGUAACCCGCCUUGUAGACAUGGUCAGUUGAUCAAGUAACUCAUCCUCCCUGAGCCUCAGAAUCUUUGUGUUAAUGGGGCGUAAUCAGACACAAAUGUCACAGUAGGAUGUUUGUUGGAAUCAAAGUCACCAGUAGAUAAUGGCCACGAAAGCCGUUUGUGAGACAUACAUCAUGGAAGAAAAUGUAGUGUAUUUGCUGAUAACUUAUAAACCCUUCCAGGACCUUAGACAAGUGCCUGUCUACAUGGUUUGUCCACAGCUGCCUUUUUUGGGGGGUACUGGGGAUCGGACUCCGGACCUUGUGCUUUUGAGGCAGGCAGCAGAACCACUGAGCUAAAUCCCCAGUCCCAUAGCUACCUUUUAAAAAAAGUAUCUGAAGCCAACUUCAGCAUCUUCCCCAUUCCACAAGUUGCUUCAUUUCUUGUGCAGUGGACCUGGAUACAAAUUGUUCUGCCUGGAAAGGUUUAUGAAUCACAAGACAACCAACAUCAACAAGUUCUACUUUUGCACGUUGAGUACCAAACAAAUGACAAUUUCAUUGGAAUGAAAUUUUCCUAUCAAAAUUCGUUGAGUACUAAAUUCACCAGUUUUAAAACAGUUGAGUAGCAUGGUAUGACUGUAUUAUAUUGGAAAUGGCACUUGUAUCUUUCAGUUAACCUAGUUAGAAGUUAGUUUAUUUAACACAUUUCAUUGACCCAGGCUUGAAAGCUUAGCAUUGAUUAUUGCUUCUCAUCUAGAUCCUACCCUUGAAAACAUGCUCAAAUAUUAUCUUUUCACUGAUGCUUCCUAAUCUCCCUACUUGAAAUAAAUCUUUGCACCUCAGUGCUUCCAUAGCAUUUUAUUUAUUUCAUAAUAGCAUAUUAUACUUAAUUGUAUUUUAAUAAAGCAAGACAGUGGGCUUGCUGCAAAUGCUGAAUUCAGUGAUGAUAAAGUGCUGACAGCCUACAGAGAGGAAAUGGAUACCUGUGAGCACUAUCGGGUAAGGUUUCACAUAGGAGAGAGGCCAAUGUCAUCCUUGUGAGGGGCCGACCAGGCCAUGGGCAGGGAGAUGAAGUUCCAGGUGGCGAGGAGACUCACAGCUUUUAGGGGACAGAGUUGGGGUGAUUUGACUUGCCUUGAAUAACACGUAACACAAUGCUAUUCACAACACUGAAUGAUUUUCCCGGUAACUUUUUGAAUUAUCUUUGUGUUCCCUGGAGGAUGUGUGUAGUAUGAGUUGUAGAAUCACAAGAAAUCCAAUUCUCAAAUUGUAUACAUUAGCUAUGAAGAAACGUUUCUUGUUGGGAGACAAGAAACUCUUUGUUAAAUUUUUCCCUUCAGUGCUGGGAAUGGAACCAAAGGCCUGGUAUAUACUAGGCCAGUGCUCUAUCACUGAGGCACACUCCCAACCCAAGAAACUCUUCAAAGGGUGACCUGCUUCUAGAGCCUCCUCACGAAGCUAAUUUUCUCCCUUUCUCGUUGUUUCUAGGGCAGAGUUUUAAUGAAACAGGAAAUUUUCAUCUCUCACAACAAAUUUACAGAUAGCUAUCACAUCCAGGAAAUGUUUGU